AGUCACGCCGCGGGCCGAGAUGAGCUCAGGGGUGACAGCCUGAGCAGGAUGUGGUUUUAAAUGUGUACAAAAGUGGCAGAUUGAGACAACAAAAACGUGGAUCACACCGUCUCUUUCGCAAAACAACUGACGGAGAAGGGGAGGAGGUGGAGGAGGCGAGGACCGAGAGUGAGCAUGUUGAGCGAGAGGAUCAGAACAAGAUUUCAAUUUCAUCUUUAAUGGAAACCCCAAAUAGGGAAAGAAAUAAAACGGGAAGGAGAUGAGCAAAUCCUGCCAGCAGAGUCAGACGGAGAAUGGAUGAUGAGGAAGACAGAAGCAGUAAAUAUUCUGCAGUUCACCAAACAAGGUGCCUAUGAGGACAGAGGAGGCAGGGGACACAAGACACGGCGGGGAGCUGAGGUAGGACGGACACUCAGGGAGCUGGAGGUGGAGAGAGAGGCUGCUCGAUACAUGCACGGGACCGGAGACAGAGAGAGACACACAGCCGAGUCCUCCGGCCUUUGGGGAGCGGGACAGAUGGACAGAUGAGAAUGUGCGAGUGCACGAG